rnacentral:rRNA from 1 species
GUGAGGAAUAUUGGACAAUGGGCGCAAGCCUGAUCCAGCCAUGCCGCGUGCAGGAAGACGCAUCUAUGGUGUGUAAACUGCUUUUGUACGGGAAGAAACACUCCCUCGUGAGGGAGCUUGACGGUACCGUAAGAAUAAGGAUCGACUAACUCCGUGCCAGCAGCCGCGGUAAUACGGAGGAUCCAAGCGUUAUCCGGAAUCAUUGGGUUUAAAGGGUCCGUAGGCGGUUUAAUAAGUCAGUGGUGAAAGCCCAUCGCUCAACGAUGGAACGGCCAUUGAUACUGUUAGACUUGAAUUACAAGGAAGUAACUAGAAUAUGUAGUGUAGCGGUGAAAUGCUUAGAUAUUACAUGGAAUACCAAUUGCGAAGGCAGGUUACUACUUGUGGAUUGACGCUGAUGGACGAAAGCGUGGGGAGCGAACAGGAUUAGAUACCCUAGUAGUCC